rnacentral:rRNA from 1 species
AACGAACGCUGGCGGCAGGCUUAACACAUGCAAGUCGAACGCCCCGCAAGGGGAGUGGCAGACGGGUGAGUAACGCGUGGGAACGUGCCCUUCGCUUCGGAAUAGCCCCGGGAAACUGGGAGUAAUACCGAAUACGCCGUAUUGGGAAAGAUUUAUCGGCGAAGGAUCGGCCCGCGUUGGAUUAGCUAGUUGGCGGUGUAAUGGACCACCAAGGCUACGAUCCAUAGCUGGUCUGAGAGGAUGAUCAGCCACACUGGGACUGAGACACGGCCCAGACGCCUACGGGAGGCAGCAGUGGGGAAUCUUGGACAAUGGGCGCAAGCCUGAUCCAGCCAUGCCGCGUGAGUGAAGAAGGCCUUAGGGUUGUAAAACUCUUUCGCCGGAGAAGAUAAUGACGGUAUCCGGAGAAGAAGCCCCGGCUAACUUCGUGCCAGCCGCCGCAGUAAUAC